rnacentral:rRNA from 1 species
UGCAAGUCGGACGGUAACAUUAGAGCUUGCUCUAGAUGACGAGUGGCGGACGGGUGAGUAACGCGUACACAACCUACCUUUAAGUGGUGAAUACCCUUUGGAAACGGAGAAUAAUACACCAUAGUAUUAACUGAUAGAUAAUUGGUUAAUUAAAGCUUUGGCGCUUAAAGAUGGGUGUGCGUACUAUUAGCUAGUUGGUAAGGUAAUGGCUUACCAAGGCUACGAUAGUUAGGGGGCGUGAGAGCGUGAACCCCCACACGGGUACUGAGACACGGACCCGACUCCUACGGGAGGCAGCUGUAAGGAAUAUUGGACAAUGGAGGCAACUCUGAUCCAGCCAUCCCGCGUGAAGGAUGACUGCCCUAUGGGUUGUAAACUUCUUUUAGACAGGAAGAAUAGCAGACAUUUAUGUUUGUGUGACGGUACUGUCAGAAUAAGCACCGGCUAACUCCGUGCCAGCAGCCGCGGUAAUACGGAGGGUGCAAGCGUUAUCCGGAAUCACUGGGUUUAAAGGGUGCGUAGGCGGCCUGACAAGUCAGAGGUGAAAUACACGAGCUUAACUGGUGAAUUGCCUU